rnacentral:rRNA from 1 species
CAAAGGAAUUGACGGGGGCCCGCACAAGCGGUGGAGCAUGUGGUUUAAUUCGAAGCAACGCGAAGAACCUUACCAGGUCUUGACAUCCCUUGACAGCCUCAGAGAUGAGGUAUCUCUUCGGAGCAAGGAGACAGGUGGUGCAUGGUUGUCGUCAGCUCGUGUCGUGAGAUGUUGGGUUAAGUCCCGCAACGAGCGCAACCCUUGCCUUUAGUUGCCAUCAUUAAGUUGGGGACUCUAGAGGGACUGCCGGUGACAAAUCGGAGGAAGGUGGGGAUGACGUCAAAUCAUCAUG